CAGCAUUUUUGGUCGACGAAAAAAGAGCAGCAACCGACUCUGACCAUAGAUGAUCCGAAAAAUCCCUUCCUUAUCAUCGUUCUUCUCCAAACCAAGAGAUAAAGAGCUCUUAUCACAUUCUAAAAGAGCACGCAGCCGCAACACACACAUAUAGAUAGCAAGAGAGAAAGAAAUAGAGGGAAAAGGAUAGAUAACUCUUUUAUUUCUUCUAUUUCUUUUUUUAAAUCUCGAUUUUGAUUUAAAAAAACGGAGUUUGAAUGAACAUUCGGUCCGAGUGUGAGUCCAGCUGAGAUUUGUAGUGCCGAUCGAGGUGUUGAAUACUACUGUUGCUGUUGGGUACUGCUGAUACCUCAUUUUUCUGCUUCCUUCUUUCAUUUCCAGGUGUGGAUCUACUUACUGAAGUUUGAGCAUGACAGAUACCACAGGAUCAAU